rnacentral:rRNA from 1 species
CGAGCGGUAGCACAGAGAGCUUGCUCUCGGGUGACGAGCGGCGGACGGGUGAGUAAUGUCUGGGAAACUGCCUGAUGGAGGGGGAUAACUACUGGAAACGGUAGCUAAUACCGCAUAACGUCGCAAGACCAAAGUGGGGGACCUUCGGGCCUCAUGCCAUCAGAUGUGCCCAGAUGGGAUUAGCUAGUAGGUGGGGUAACGGCUCACCUAGGCGACGAUCCCUAGCUGGUCUGAGAGGAUGACCAGCCACACUGGAACUGAGACACGGUCCAGACUCCUACGGGAGGCAGCAGUGGGGAAUAUUGCACAAUGGGCGCAAGCCUGAUGCAGCCAUGCCGCGUGUGUGAAGAAGGCCUUCGGGUUGUAAAGCACUUUCAGCGGGGAGGAAGGCGUUAAGGUUAAUAACUCUUGGUCGAUUGACGUUACCCGCAGAAGAAGCACCGGCUAAACUCCGUGCCAGCAGCCGCGGUAAUACGGAGGGGUGCAAGCGUUAAUCGGAAUUACUGGGCGUAAAGCGCACGCAGGCGGUCUGUCAAGUCGGAUGUGAAAUCCCCGGGCUCAACCUGGGAACUGCAUUCGAAACUGGCAGGCUAGAGUCUUGUAGAGGGGGGUAGAAUUCCCAGGUGUAGCGGUGAAAUGCGUAGAGAUCUGGAAGGAAUUACCGGUGGCGAAGGCGGCCCCCCGGACAAAGACUGUACGCUUCAGGUUGCGAAAGCGUGGGGAGCAAACAGGAUUAGAUACCCUGGUAGUCCACGCCGUAAACGAUGUCGAUUUGGAGGUUGUGCCCUUGAGGCGUGGCUUCCGGAGCUAACGCGUUAAAUCGACCGCCUGGGGAGUACGGCCGCAAGGUUAAAACUCAAAUGAAUUGACGGGGGCCCGCACAAGCGGUGGAGCAUGUGGUUUAAUUCGAUGCAACGCGAAGAACCUUACCUGGUCUUGACAUCCACAGAACUUUCCAGAGAUGGAUUGGUGCCUUCGGGAACUGUGAGACAGGUGCUGCAUGGCUGUCGUCAGCUCGUGUUGUGAAAUGUUGGGUUAAGUCCCGCAACGAGCGCAACCCUUAUCCUUUGUUGCCAGCGGUUAGGCCGGGAACUCAAAGGAGACUGCCAGUGAUAAACUGGAGGAAGGUGGGGAUGACGUCAAGUCAUCAUGGCCCUUACGACCAGGGCUACACACGUGCUACAAUGGCAUAUACAAAGAGAAGCGACCUCGCGAGAGCAAGCGGACCUCAUAAAGUAUGUCGUAGUCCGGAUUGGAGUCUGCAACUCGACUCCAUGAAGUCGGAAUCGCUAGUAAUCGUAGAUCAGAAUGCUACGGUGAAUACGUUCCCGGGCCUUGUACACACCGCCCGUCACACCAUGGGAGUGGGUUGCAAAAGAAGUAGGUAGCUUAACCUUCGGGAGGGCGCUACCA